rnacentral:rRNA from 1 species
UACGUAGGGUGCGAGCGUUGUCCGGAAUUAUUGGGCGUAAAGGGUGCGUAGGCGGCGGGGCAAGUCUGAUGUGAAAUCCUGGGGCUCAACCCUGGAACUGCAUUGGAUACUGCCUUGCUAGAGAACUGGAGAGGAGACUGGAAUUUACGGUGUAGCAGUGAAAUGCGUAGAGAUCGUAAGGAAGACCAGUGGCGAAGGCGAGUCUCUGGACAGUUACUGACGCUGAGGCACGAAGGCCAGGGGAGCAAACGGG